rnacentral:rRNA from 1 species
CUAUACAUGACUCUGCGCAUAUCAAUAAGCGGAGGAAAAGAAACUAACAAGGAUUCCCUUAGUAACGGCGAGUGAAGCGGGAAGAGCUCAAAUUUGAAAUCUUCAAGGUUCUACCUUGACGAAUUGUAGUUUAUAGAAGUGUUUUCUGUUAGUAGAGUGGCAAAAGUUCUUUGGAAUAGGACAUCAUAGAGGGUGAGAAUCCCGUAUUUGGUCAUUCUUUCUAGCUUUGUGAUACACUUUCAACGAGUCGGAUUGUUUGGGAAUGCAGUCCAAAAUGGGUGGUAAAUUUCAUCUAAAGCUAAAUAUUGGCGAGAGACCGAUAGCGAACAAGUACCGUGAGGGAAAGAUGAAAAGAACUUUGAAAAGAGAGUUAAACAGUACGUGAAAUUGUCAAAAGGGAAGCGUUUGACACCAGUGUUGUUUUUCCGAAAAUCAAUUACGAAUGUUUUAUUUUUGAGAAGUUAUGACUUCAUCGGCUUGCUUCUCUCUUUAUGAAACUUUCUUAAUGCACUUUUCGGUUAACAAGUCAACAUCAAUUUCUUUUGUUGUAAAAGGGUAUGAGGAAGGUGGCUUUCUUUUCGGAGAAAGUGUUUAUAGCCUUGUACCUCUGCAAUCGGAGAGAUUGAGGUCUGCAGCGUAGAUCCUUCGGGGUUAGAUACAGUUUGUGCUAAGUUAUAGCUUUUCAUAGACAACUUGUUGACUAUGUUUAGUCUUGUAGCUUACUCGCUGACUGCUAUAUUUACCUACGCUUAGGAUGUUGAUAUGCAUGACUGAUAU